rnacentral:rRNA from 1 species
UACGUAGGGCGCAAGCGUUAAUCGGAUUUAUUGGGCGUAAAGGAUGCGUAGGCGGUUAUUUAAGUUAGAUGUGAAAUUCAGGGCUUACCCCUGGACUGCAUUUAAGACUGAGUGACUAGAGGCCAGGAGGGGAGAACGGAAUUCCACAAGUAGCGGUGAAAUGCGUAGAUAUGUGGAAGAACACCGGUGGCGAAGGCGGUUCUCUAGCCUGGAUCUGACGCUGAGGCAUGAAAGCAAGGGGAGCAAACAGG